GAUGAACGCUGGCGGCGUGCCUAAUACAUGCAAGUCGAGCGAACAGACGAGGAGCUUGCUCCUUUGACGUUGGCGGCGGACGGGUGAGUAACACGUGGAUAACCUACCUAUAAGACUGGGAUAACUUCGGGAAACCGGAGCUAAUACCGGAUAAUAUAUUGAACCGCAUGGUUCAAUAGUGAAAGACGGUUUUGCUGUCACUUAUAGAUGGAUCCGCGCCGCAUUAGCUAGUUGGUAAGGUAACGGCUUACCAAGGCAACGAUGCGUAGCCGACCUGAGAGGGUGAUCGGCCACACUGGAACUGAGACACGGUCCAGACUCCUACGGGAGGCAGCAGUAGGGAAUCUUCCGCAAUGGGCGAAAGCCUGACGGAGCAACGCCGCGUGAGUGAUGAAGGUCUUCGGAUCGUAAAGCUCUGUUAUUAGGGAAGAACAAAUGUGUAAGUAACUAUGCACGUCUUGACGGUACCUAAUCAGAAAGCCACGGCUAACUACGUG
rnacentral:rRNA from 1 species